AUUGAACGCUGGCGGCAGGCCUAACACAUGCAAGUCGAGCGAGCGGCGGACGGGUGAGUAAUGUAUGGGGACUGCCCGAUGGAGGGGGAUAACUACUGGAAACGGUGGCUAAUACCGCAUACUGUCGGAUAACCCAUAUGGGAUUAGCUAGUAGGUGAGGUAAUGGCUUACCUAGGCGAUGAUCUGUAGCGGGUCUGAGAGGAUGAUCCGCCACACUGGGACUGAGACACGGCCCAGACUCCUACGGAGGCAGCAGUGGGGAAUAUUGGACAAUGGGGGGAACCCUGAUCCAGCCAUGCCGCGUGUGUGAAGAAGGCCUUAGGGUUGUAAAGCACUUUAAGCGAGGAGGCGUUACCGGCAGAAGAAGCACCGGCUAACUCCGUGCCAGCAGCCGCGGUAAUUC
rnacentral:rRNA from 1 species